rnacentral:tRNA from 1 species
GCUGGUUAGUUGAGUUGGAAGAACGCUAGACUGGAAAUAGAGGAGUCUCUGGUUCAAUACCAGGACCAGGCG